GAUGAACGCUAGCUACAGGCUUAACACAUGCAAGUCGAGGGGCAGCAUGAACUUAGCUUGCUAAGUUUGAUGGCGACCGGCGCACGGGUGAGUAACACGUAUCCAACCUGCCGAUGACUCGGGGAUAGCCUUGCGAAAGUAAGAUUAAUACCCGGCGGUCUCGGAUGGCCGCAUGACUAUCCGAGUGAAGAUUUAUCGGUAUGAGAUGGCGAUGCGUCCCAUUAGCUAGUUGGUGAGGUAAUGGCUCACCAAGGCAUCGAUGGGUAGGGGUUCUGAGAGGAAGGUCCCCCACAUUGGAACUGAGACACGGUCCAAACUCCUACGGGAGGCAGCAGUGAGGAAUAUUGGUCAAUGGACGAAAGUCUGAACCAGCCAAGUAGCGUGCAGGAAGACGGCCCUCUGGGUUGUAAACUGCUUUUAGUUGGGAAUAAAAAGAGGGACGUGUCCCUUAUUGUAUGUACCAUCAGAAAAAGGACCGGCUAAUUCCGUGCCAGCAGCCGCGGUAAUACGGAAGGUCCAGGCGUUAUCCGGAUUUAUUGGGUUUAAAGGGAGCGCAGGCGGCGGCGUAAGUCAGUUGUGAAAUCGUGCGGCUUAACCGUGCAAUUGCAGUUGAUACUGCGUCGCUUGAGUGCACACAGGGAUGUUGGAAUUCAUGGUGUAGCGGUGAGAUGCUUAGAUAUCAUGAAGAACUCCGAUCGCGAAGGCAUAUGUCCGGAGUGCAACUGACGCUGAGGCUCGAAAGUGUGGGUAUCAAACAGG
rnacentral:rRNA from 1 species